rfam:Rhizoctonia solani AG-8 WAC10335 unplaced genomic scaffold Scaffold_77, whole genome shotgun sequence.
AUUCUCUUAGCUCAAUGGUUAGAGCUACAUUCUUCUAAAAUGUCUAUUUUGGUUCGAGUCCGAAAGAGAAUA